UACGAAGGGGGCUAGCGUUGUUCGGAUUUACUGGGCGUAAAGCGCACGUAGGCGGAUCGUUAAGUCGGGGGUGAAAUCCUGGAGCUCAACUCCAGAACUGCCUUCGAUACUGGCGAUCUUGAAUCCGGGAGAGGUGAGUGGAAUUCCGAGUGUAGAGGUGAAAUUCGUAGAUAUUCGGAAGAACACCAGUGGCGAAGGCGGCUCACUGGACCGGCAUUGACGCUGAGGUGCGAAAGCGUGGGGAGCAAACAGG
rnacentral:rRNA from 1 species